GCCAGUUCUCAACUAGUUAUUUAAUGAUACCACAUUGACUUAAUCAGGGAAUGUUUUUUCAAAUUCCAUCACACAAAGGUAUGCUAGGUGCAAUGAUUAUUCAUGAAAUCUAAUCCAAAGCUGCUAUGGCAAUCUUCAUCUGCAGAAAAAAAGAUCAAAUUAAUCAUCACUCCUUGUCUACACACCAUUUGAGAAUAUAGAGGAGGGUGUGAAUCAAACAGUUUAUUAAAAAUUGGAUUAGCUGCUGCUUUUAGAUGAACCCAAAAGACCACAUUGUUUGAUAAUCUAUCUGAUGCUUAUUACACAGGUUUUAUUUUUUAAAUAAAUGGCUGUGGCAUCUCUAGAUUGUUCCUUGGAAUAGUUGAUCCCAAGGGAAGCCAACAGGAAUAAAGCAUGACUGCUUGAAGAAACACCUCAAGUACCUACCUCCCGAAUAAACAGCUUUCAGGUGCCUCUGUACAAGGAGAUUAAAUCAUGAUUAUUUUUUAUUUAUAUCAGCAUCUCAUUCCACAGAAAGGUUUAAUUAAUAAGGCAAAUCCUUAUUAAUCCUUAAUC
rnacentral:lncRNA from 1 species